CGCCUUCCCCAGACCCCCGCGACCUAUCCAUUCUUUCAUUUUCUUUGGCCACCAAAUGUGAGGCCCCCCUAAAAGACAAUCAGCUUCUCAUUGUCAGAAUCAGCUGGAUUAGGACUGGGUGCCAGCAUUGUCCUGCACAACAUCAUCCUGCACUUCCUCAUCACGCCCGGAUGCUGACCAAGUGGAGAAAACAUGGAGACGAAACGUCAAAAUCUGCCUCACUAGAGAUGCUGCAGAACGACCCUUUGUCACCCACGGACUCUGGUCUACAGAUAGCUGAGUUGAGGUGUAAAAGAGCGUCCUGUUUUUAUGUGACGCACACUGAAACGUAUGCGCGCGCGUGAUGGUGGCUUUUCACCGUCAGCCUGAUGUAAACACCCUCCGCCGAGUCUGUCUACCAGAGUGUGUCCAGGAAGGUUUGACAAAUCCCGGAUGCCUGGAUGUGAGCGGCACUUUCUUAGGAACUGAGGCCUCAGACUGACUUUAAAAAGGAGGGAGGGAGCCGAGAAGCAGCUUCCUCUCUGCUUCCUGACUGGAUGCCCGUGUAUGACAGGCUCCCCACAGUGAUGGGCUGUACCCUCAAACCAAGCCUCCCCCCAAAACCUUUCCUCACUCACGUCGCUUUGUCAGAUGUUGUCAUAGCAAUGAGAGAAGAAAUUAAUACAGCAAGGCAGAGAGUCCAGGGAGGAAAAAACAGAGUUAAUACUAAAAACUGGCAAAUCUCAAUGUAGAUGCUCUAGCUUUUAUUACUAUUCUUAAAACGUUGAAAUGUUCGGUUUGUAUGAAAUUAUCUCAAACUAAGAAAAAACAUUAAAUACCCAG